rnacentral:rRNA from 1 species
AUUGAACGCUGGCGGCAUGCUUUACACAUGCAAGUCGAACGGUAACAGGGAGCUUGCUCCGCUGACGAGUGGCGAACGGGUGAGUAAUGCGUCGGAACGUGCCGAGUAGUGGGGGAUAACGCAGCGAAAGUUGUGCUAAUACCGCAUACGUACUGAGGUAGAAAGUGGGGGACCUUCGGGCCUCACGCUAUUCGAGCGGCCGACGUCUGAUUAGCUAGUAGGUGAGGUAAAGGCUCACCUAGGCGACGAUCAGUAGCGGGUCUGAGAGGAUGAUCCGCCACACCGGGACUGAGACACGGCCCAGACUCCUACGGGAGGCAGCAGUGGGGAAUUUUGGACAAUGGGCGAAAGCCUGAUCCAGCCAUGCCGCGUGUCUGAAGAAGGCCUUCGGGUUGUAAAGGACUUUUGUCAGGGAGGAAAUCCUAGUGGCUAAUAACUACUGGGGAUGACAGUACCUGAAGAAUAAGCACCGGCUAACUACGUGCCAGCCGCCGCCGUAAAAC